rnacentral:lncRNA from 1 species
GUGUCCUCUCUAAACUUUGAAAAUCAUGAAGUGUUGAAGUUCCGUAAAAAAGGUGUCGGCCACACGGGAUUUGAAACUAGAUUAAAAUCUAAUGGUACACAGGGUUACACUUUUCAUUUAAUGGUACACAACGAAACAUUAUGGUACCCCUUGAAGCACACGCAAAAAAAGGGACAAAACCCUAUGUAACACUCUGGAACGAAACAAACCUCAGCAAAACUAAAACUAGCAUGGUUGUUACACGAGCAGAUGGGAGUUGCUGGAGGACGAUCGUUCGACUAUCCACGUUACACCAACGACCGUGGUGGGGGGCUCGGCACCACGUAAGACUUCGGCGUGUUCGGCAGCGGUGACUUGGGGAGAACCGCCCUCGUCCCCAAAGACCUCCUCGCCGAAGCCCACUUCCCGGCCGCCGCUGCCGCGACGCCGGCGUCCACUACCUUCACGUCGCGGCCUGCAAUUGAACAAUUCUGUGGAUUAUAGUUGCACCUCAGAAAUUCAAACGGCGUAGAGGGCGCCGACCAGCGUACCUAGAAGGAGGUGGGAGGAGAAUGUUGUGCUCGUGCAUGAACCCAGUACAAGGACACCGGCGACGAGCACCCAGGCGAAGAGCACUCUACGGUCCAUGCCGGUGACGGCGACGGCUCUGAAGUCUGAACGGAAGUAACAGCUAGACUUUGGGAGUUUGGACUUGGGAGGAAGCGUCAUCGCGCUAGAGCUGUAUAUAUCGUCGGCGUGGAUGAUAAUGGUC